UGGAGCUUCAGUUCGAUUGUGCCUGUUGUACAUUUCUGUUGUGUCUGCUUUGGAAAUGGUCUGUGAGAGGAGAAGCUUGAGUUUAAUUUUCCAGGCUUGUUUGGAUGUCAUUACCAAGAAAAUGAUGUUGAAAAGAGCAGACGAAGACUCCUUUCAUCCCUCAUAUAGCUGAGAUUUGCUGAGUGUGAUAAUGAAAUUGUUUGGUUGUGAGGAUUAAAUGAGAUACUUUCCCGAAUGUUCUAGGCAUAGCCUAAACAAACAAUAAAGAACUGGUGUGUGGGGACAAGGAAAAAAUAAUGGGUAUU
ensembl:lncRNA